rnacentral:lncRNA from 13 species
AUGAUGAAAAUUACAGGCCUCUCUCAUCUUUUUAAGUGGGAGAACUUGCACAAUUGGUGGCUGACUAAAUACUUUUUUGCCCCACCGUACAUACCCCAGCUCUCUAAAAAGUCAGGUAAACAAUACCUUCCCUUGGAUAUUUUGUCUCAAAUUUCGUGCAUAAGGACAAACCGCACAGACAGCAGGUUCUUGUGCCACCUAUUACGAGAAUAUGAGGCGGGAGUAUCUCUCAGGUUUACCUGAGAACAUAGGGGACACAAUCUUAGAGAUCCAUGCAAAGAAGGGUCGCCAAAGGAGAAGGUGGGUAAAAGUAGUUUUUUUGUGUAACACUAGGUUUGUUACUCCUGUAUUACUUAUUUUCCCUGUAAUACAAAGUGCAUUCAUGGCCCUCUUACAAGUUUGAAGUGAUAUAUUUGAGUCUAGAAGAGUAGAAUGAAAGCAGAUGUUGAAUUCCACCCACCUUGUCUAAAGUGGUUGCUGUAGCCCCUGCAGUUCCAUUAAUCACCAGUUACUAUACUUUGUUGGACCACUAAUUGCCUCUGUAUCAGAAUUGGAUUGACUGUUUUACUGAAAGUAACAGUAAUCAUGAGCAUGGUAUACAUUUUGGCAAACAAUUCUGUUUCAUACUCUAGUCCACAUGCCUGUAGCUCUGUGCACUGACAGUACAACAUGCACAACUUGUAGCAAACCAUUUAAAGGCAAUGCUACCAAAUACUAAUUGAGUGUAUGUAAACUAAUGACCCACUGGGAAUGUGAUGAAAGAAAUAAAAGCUGAAAUAAAUUUUACUCAGAUUAAAUGUCAGGAAUUGUGAAAAACUGAGUUGAAAUAUUUUUGGCUAAGGUGUGUAUGUAAACUUCCGACUUCAACUGUACAUGUUUGUGCAUAUCUGCACACAAAAGUGGUCCAUUACCUGAGAUUUAUGGGAAAUGUGCCGGGCCAAAAACUGCUGGACAUGUGCCCGCAAAUUUCCAGAAAUUGUACGUUUUCGGACUUGUGCACUGGAGUGUUCAACCCGUAAAUAUACCAUUUCAUGUAGUGCCUCAUUGUGUCAAGCUGUCGAUUUGCCUCUCUGCAACACAAACAUCUCCAACUGGCCAAGUCCUGACUCACUUGCUGCUCAGAAAAGAAGGGUAUUUUUCACUGUUCUGUGUCCCUGAUGUUUAUCAUCAUACAAUUUGACACAAUUUGAUACAAUAAAAUGUAUUGUACAGUUCCAAAUAGAGAGUUCCAAAUAGAUACAAG